CCGUGAUGAAGUUGCCAGCAAGCAUCGAGUUGGGCACCCGCGAGUGCAAUUGAGGCGCCCGUGUGUGCAGGAGUAACCCUUUCUGGUCGUGAUGAAGUUGCCAGCAAGCAUCAACUUGAGCACCCGCGAGUGCAAUUGAGGCGCCCGUGUGUGCAGGAGUAAUCUUUUCCGGUCGUGAUGAGGUUGCCAGCGAGCAUCGAGUUGGGCACCCGCGAGUGCAAUUGAGACGCCCGCGUGCACAGAAGUAAUCUUUUCCGGCCGUGAUGAAGUUGCCAGUGAGCAUCAACUUGAGCACCCGCGAGUGCAACUGAGGCGCCCAUGUGUGCAGUUGUUGGCACCCGUGCGUGCAGACAUGAGCAUCGUCGAUUGCCU
rnacentral:lncRNA from 1 species